rnacentral:rRNA from 1 species
GGUUGAUCCUGCCGGAGGUCACUGCUAUUGGGAUUCGACUAAGCCAUGCGAGUCGAGAGGGUUUGGCCCUCGGCUGACGGCUCAGUAACACGUGGAUAAUCUGCCCUAAGGUGGAGGAUAACCUCGGGAAACUGAGAAUAACACUCCAUAGGUCUAGGAGGCUGGAAUGCACUUAGGCUGAAAACUUUGGUGCCUUAGGAUGAGUCUGCGGACUAUCAGGUUGUAGUCAGGGUAAAGACCUGACUAGCCUACGACGGAUACGGGUUGUGAGAGCAAUAACCCGGAGAUGAUAUCUGAGACACGAUAUCAGGCCCUACGGGGCGCAGCAGGCGCGAAAACUUCGCACUGCGCGAAAGCGCGACGAGGGAAUCCCAAGUGUAUGCACGUAAGUGUAUACUGUUUCUUUGUCUAAAAAGCAGAGAGAGUAAGAGCUGGGUAAGACGGGUGCCAGCCGCCGCGGUAAUACCUGCAGCUCGAGUGGUGAUCGUUAUUAUUGGGCCUAAAACGUCCGUAGCCGGUCUUCUAAAUGCCUGGGUAAAUCGUAUGGCUUAACCAUACGAAUUCCGGGUAGACUGUUAGACUUGAGACCGGGAGAAGCUAGAGGUACUCCUGGGGUAGAGGUGAAAUUCUGUAAUCCUAGGGGGACGACCAGUGGCGAAGGCGUCUAGCUAGAACGGGUCUGACGGUGAGGGACGAAGCCCUGGGGCGCAAACGGGAUUAGAUACCCCGGUAGUCCAGGGUGUAAACGCUGCUUGCUUGAUGUUAGUCUGGCUCCGAGCCAGAUUAGUGUCGGAGAGAAGUUGUUAAGCAAGCUGCCUGGGAAGUACGGCCGCAAGACUGAAACUUAAAGGAAUUGGCGGGGGAGCACAGCAACGGGUGGAGCGUGCGGUUUAAUUGGAUUCAACGCCGGG